rnacentral:rRNA from 1 species
GUGCCAGCAGCCGCGGUAAGACGUAGGAUGCGAGCGUUGUCCGGAUUUAUUGGGCGUAAAGAGUUCGUAGGUGGUUUGUUAAGUCUGAUGUUAAAGAUUGGGGCUCAACCCUGAAACUGCAUUGGAUACUGGCAGACUUGAGUGUGGUAGAGGCUAGUGGAAUUCCCAGUGUAGCGGUGAAAUGCGUAGAUAUUGGGAAGAACACCGGUGGCGUAGGCGACUAGCUGGGCCAUAACUGACACUGAGGAACGAAAGCCAGGGUAGCGAAUGGGAUUAGAAACCCCUGUAGUCC